GGUCUUAUGGUCUAGUGGUACGUCGAAUUUGCCAAGCAAAUCUUCUGCAUCAUUUCACUAACAUUGAUAGGUAUGAUUCUCGCUUAGGGUACUCCUGAGCACGCUUGCGAGAGGCCCCGCGUUCGAAUCGCGGUAAGACCC